AAAAUUUGCCUUAGCAGAAUAGAAAUACUUUCCUUGUCAUCUGAAAUGUAGGAGAAUAUAGGUUGAGACAUCUGAGUUGUGUCCCCUCCUUUGUCAUAAUGCCAGCUAGUGUAAAGCUGAGAUUGAUCAAUGUACUCUAAGCUAACUUAGGACUGUGCUCUAGACCUGGUGUAUUCCUAAGGGAAUAGAGAGCCAACAGGUGAAUCACAAGAAGCAACUACCUAAACAAAGUUGAGAAUCUGAGGGUGUACUACCAAACCUAUCCUGUCCUGUUUGAAGAAUUCCAGGCCAAGAAAAGUGAUGCACAGACUUCUGCACUCUCUGCACAUUUACUUGUUUUUAAAUGUCUAAAAUUGUUUGAAAAAGUUUAAUUACUUACUGGUACCGUGUAUAUGUAUCCACAUUUCAACAAUGACAAAGUAAUUUAUUCCCAAGUCAAUAAAACAAUGUAUCAGUGUU